GGGGCUGUGGUUUAGUGGUAUAAUGUUCGCUUUGCAGGGCACCUAUUGUAGGUCAACUACGCAGGUCAUGUGUGCGAAAGGCCGGGGGUUCGAUUCCCUCCAGCUCCA